rnacentral:rRNA from 1 species
AUUGAACGCUGGCGGCAGGCCUAACACAUGCAAGUCGAGCGGAUGAGAAGAGCUUGCUCUUCGAUUCAGCGGCGGACGGGUGAGUAAUGCCUAGGAAUCUGCCUGUAGUGGGGGACAACGUUUCGAAAGGAACGCUAAUACCGCAUACGUCCUACGGGAGAAAGCAGGGGACCUUCGGGCCUUGCGCUAUCAGAUGAGCCUAGGUCGGAUUGGCUAGUUGGUGAGGUAAUGGCUCACCAAGGCGACGAUCCGUAACUGGUCUGAGAGGAUGAUCAGUCACACUGGAACUGAGACACGGUCCAGACUCCUACGGGAGGCAGCAGUGGGGAAUAUUGGACAAUGGGCGAAAGCCUGAUCCAGCCAUGCCGCGUGUGUGAAGAAGGUCUUCGGAUUGUAAAGCACUUUAAGUUGGGAGGAAGGGCAGUAAGUUAAUACCUUGCUGUUUUGACGUUACCGACAGAAUAAGCACCGGCUAACUCUGUGCCAGCCGCCGCGGUAAAAC